CUGCAAACUAGUCAGUUCUCAGCCUGCUCGUAAGUCCUGCAUAAUGGUCUCCCCAGGUUGUUCUACAGUUGAGUGUCUACAUGUUUUCUAUGGGUAGUGUUUCUUUUUUCCCCGACUUCAAGAUUUUUCCUUAAGUUUGAUUUCCUGCAGUUUAAAUAUGAUAUGCCUACGUGUAGUUUUGGGACAAUUAUCCUACUUAUUCUCAGGCUUCCCA
rnacentral:lncRNA from 1 species